GAGCGGCCUCGCGCUACGACCGAGACCCCAGGUCAGGCGGGACCACCCGCUGAGUUUAAGCAUAUCAAUAAGCGGAGGAA
rnacentral:rRNA from 1 species